rnacentral:misc_RNA from 1 species
CAGAGUUGCGAAACUCCAAAACCAUUGUGAACCUACCCUUGCCGUUGCUUCGGCGGGCGGGCCCCGCGCCCCCCGGCCCCCACGGGCGCCCGCCGGAGGUGAUACCAAACCAUUGAACGCGCGUGGCCUCUCUGAGUCUUCUGUACUGAAUAAGUCA